AAUCGAGACGUGAGACGGCGAUGGUGGAGGUGGUGGUGGUGGCAUUGCGACCUGCUGUUGCUGCUGCGAGCUGCUCAUCGGCCGGAGAGUUAAUCUCAAAUCCAGUUUGUCCCAGACCAAGCUCCAAAUCCACGACAACACCGCUACUGCUGCUGCUGCUGGUGCCGCUCGACACCUGAAUUCUUUCGCUGGACAGUGAUUGUAGGGGAAGUCUGUGCGGUACAACGGCGUAGCUCUUGUCUCCGGAGGCGCGAUUCCGGAAGUAGACAACGCCAGACUGCAAACCAAAACUUCAGGGAUUGAGAGAAUCAGCGAACAAAUCUUCUCACCUUCAAGUCAAGACAUUUCUCCCACCCGGACGGAAGUGGCUGCUUGGAAUCCACGAUCUCCAGCAGCGAGUCGACCGACAAGGAGCUGUGAUAGCUCGCCGCGGAGGAUUGCGGAGGAGGACAACACUUCAUGGUGGCUGGACUUUGAGUGGGACUGAGGAAAAAGAGCUACUAAAGCUACAUCCAACAAGCGAGACGAAAAAUAAGAAAGGUGGUUUCCUUUCUUUCUUUCUUUCAGCAACAAACGAGAGAGGCCCGAGCUACCGCCACCAUCACCAUCCACUUUGGAGGAAUCAACAACCAAAAUCCCUAUCAAA